rnacentral:rRNA from 1 species
GUAGAAUGGUCCGGCGAGUUAUUGUAUGCAGCGAGGUUAAGUAGUUCAGCUACGGAGCCGAAGUGAGAGCGAGUGUUAACAGCACGUUCAGUUGCAUGCAAUAGACCCGAAACCGGGUGACCUAUCCAUGUCCAGGAUGAAGUGAGGGUAAAACCUCAUGGAGGUCCGAACCCACUCCCGUUGAAAUGGUAGGGGAUGAGGUGUGGAUAGCGGAGAAAUUCCAAUCGAACCCGGAUAUAGCUGGUUCUCCCCGAAAUAGUUUUAGGACUAGCCUCGUGAUCAAGAUUAUCGGAGGUAAAGCACUGAAUGGCCUAGGGGUCGAGAGAUUACCGAAGCCUAUCAAACUCUGAAUGCCGAAUAAUCAUGCACGGGAGUCAGACUGUGUGAGAUAAGUUUCAUAGUCGAAAGGGAAACAGCCCAGACCUACAGCUAAGGUCCCAAAGUACGUUUAAGUGGAAAACGAUGUGAAAUUGCGUAGACAACCAGGAUGUUGGCUUAGAAGCAGCCAUACAUUAAAAGAGUGCGUAAUAGCUCACUGGUCGAGUGACUUUGCGCGGAAAAUUUAACGGGGCUAAAACGUACACCGAAGCUUAGGCUUGUCACAAUGUGACAGGGGUAGGGGAGCGUUGAAUGAGGGGUGAAGUCGUAGCGAAAGCGACGGUGGACUUCAUUCAAGUGAGAAUGCCGGAAUGAGUAGCGAGAAUUAUGUGAGAAUCAUAAUGGCCGAAAGCCUAAGGUUUUUGGAGGAAGGUUCGUCCGCUCCAAGUAAGUCGGAAGCUAAGGUGAGGCUGAAAAGCGUAGCCGAUGCACAAACGGUUGAAAUUCCGUUACCACAGAAAGAUUUAAACUAAGGGACACUUUUGAAGAGCUGAUGCCGGGUGUUGGUUACCCCGGUCGUAAGGGAACGAAAUUAAGUAGUGAAGUCAGCGUGGAUGAAGGCGAGAAAAGCUUAGUGUAUAUCUUAUGUGUCCGUACCGCAAACCGACACAGGUAGGUAGGAAGAGAAUUCUAAGGCCAACGGGAGAAGGGUAGUUAAGGAACUCGGCAAAAUGUCCCCGUAACUUCGGAAUAAGGGGAGGUUUCUACGGAAACCCGCAGAGAAUAGUCCCAGGCAACUGUUUAUCAAAAACACAGCUCUAUGCUAAAUCGAAAGAUGACGUAUAUGGGGUGACGCCUGCCCGGUGCCGGAAGGUUAAGAGGAGGAGUGAGAGCCCUGAAUCGAAGCCCCGGUAAACGGCGGCCGUAACUAUAACGGUCCUAAGGUAGCGAAAUUCCUUGUCAGGUAAGUUCUGACCCGCACGAAUGGCGUAAUGAUCUGGGAGCUGUCUCAACUGCCCGCCCGGCGAAAUUGUAGUACCGGUGAAGAUGCCGGUUACCCGCGACUAGACGGGAAGACCCCAUGGAGCUUUACUGUAGCUUAAUAUUGGAUUUCGGCAUUUCAUGUACAGGAUAGGUGGGAGACUAGGAAACAUAGGCGUCAGCUUAUGUGGAGUCGUCCUUGGGAUACCACUCUUGGAGUGCUGAAAUUCUAACCUGCAGCCCUGAAUCGGGUUGGGGGACAUUGUUAGGUGGGCAGUUUGACUGGGGCGGUCGC